rnacentral:rRNA from 1 species
AACGAACGCUGGCGGCAGGCUUAACACAUGCAAGUCGAACGCAUCCUUCGGGGUGAGUGGCAGACGGGUGAGUAACGCGUGGGAACGUGCCCUUCAGUUCGGGAUAACCCAGGGAAACUUGGGCUAAUACCGGAUACGUGCGAGAGCAGAAAGAUUUAUCGCUGAAGGAUCGGCCCGCGUCUGAUUAGCUAGUUGGUGGGGUAAUGGCCCACCAAGGCGACGAUCAGUAGCUGGUCUGAGAGGAUGAUCAGCCACAUUGGGACUGAGACACGGCCCAAACUCCUACGGGAGGCAGCAGUGGGGAAUAUUGGACAAUGGGCGCAAGCCUGAUCCAGCCAUGCCGCGUGAGUGAUGAAGGCCAUAGGGUUGUAAAGCUCUUUCGUCCGGGACGAUAAUGACGGUACCAGAAGAAGAAGCCCCGGCUAACUUCGUGCCAGCCGCCGCAGUAA